GGGCGUUGCCGCACUCCAGCCGGGGAUGAGGUCGGGGGCUUGCCCUGCAGCGAACAUGACCCCACUCUGGCUCCUACGUAGGAGGCGUGGCCAGAUCCCUCACCCCCUCCUGCAACCCUACGCCCAAUUUUGUGAGGAUUCAUGGCCCACCAUGCAAUUUCCAUACCCCGAUGGGGCCCUCCGGCCAAAAAGUUUGCCUGUUCCUGUUCUAGGGGCUACAGAGAGG